UAUAUAAAACAGAUAAAUAUAAAUUAAAAUAACUUAAGUAUAUUAAUUUUCGCUUCCAUUUAACUAGUUUUACCAGAACCAGGUUUUGCCCAGUUUGGAGCUGGUUUGAUGACAUCAUAUCUGGUCUGAAUACUGACUCAGCCCGGUCAUGGGUCCGGUUCCCAGCCCAACAAGUCUGGUUGAGGUUUUAUAAAUUGGUAUGUGAUCGGAAUUGCAGUCGCAUCAAGGAUUCUGGAGUUUCUUAAGAUCACAUUAGCACAGCUGUCUGCAAUUUUCUGUGAUAUCAAGGAUCACGAUAAGGCUAUAACUGCAAUUUAAAAUCUUUAGUAUUAAUCAUGAAUGCGGAAUUUAAGAGAUCGAGUGAUAUAGUUCUUACGAAUGGUGUCACCAGCCUGAAACCUGUUUUGGGAAGCCCAAUCAUUGAAGAAGUUGGUGUCGUUAGCAGGUGGAACAAUCCACCCUUUUGAGCCACCAACUUCGAACUCAUUGGAAGCCACAGAGAAACAUAGAAGAGUCGAGGAAAUGACAAAGAGAAGCACUAGUAGUGAACCGGAACAAGAAGAAGCCAUUGGAGAGAAGCAAGAGAAGAAAUAGAGUGGAAAAGUUUGUGGUAAAACUGGCACGUUAUGGUGUAGUUGUAUUGUAAUGUGGAUAAAUGGGGUUAGUUUUUAUAUAUAGAUGUUAGUGGGGAAGUAGGAUUUGAAUGAGUUGGACGAGAAAUGGGAGUAGUGGGGUGAUUACAGUUAUUUACAAGUUACACGUCUUAACUUAGAAAUUUUGUUUUUUGCUAAUAAAUUUGACUUGGUCA